CCGGAUUUAUUGGGUUUAAAGGGUGCGUAGGCGGCUUUAUAAGUCAGCGGUGAAAUAUUGCAGCUUAACUGUAACAGUGCCGUUGAUACUGUAGAGCUAGGAUUAGGUUGCUGUGGGCGGAAUGUGUGGUGUAGCGGUGAAAUGCUUAGAGAUCACACAGAAUAUCGAUUGCGAAGGCGGCUCACAAAGCCUAAAUUGACGCUGAGGCACGAAAGUGUGGGGAUCGAACAGGAUUAGAUACCCUGGUAGUCCACACUGUAAACGAUGAUAACUCGCUGUCGGCGAUAUACAGUCGGUGGCCAAGCGAAAGCGAUAAGUUAUCCACCUGGGGGGUACGACCGCAAGGUUGAAACUCAAAGGAAUUGACGGGGGCCCGCACAAGCAAUGGAUUAUGUGGUUUAAUUCGAAGCAACGCGAAGAACCUUACCAGGGUUUGACAUCCUACUAACGAAGCAGAGAUGCAUUAGGUGCCCUUCGGGGAAAGUAGAGACAGGUGGUGCAUGGUUGUCGUCAGCUCGUGUCGUGAGAUGUUGGGUUAAGUCCCGCAACGAGCACAACCCUUAUUGCUAGUUGCUACGCAAGAGCACUCUAGCGAGACUGCCGUUGACAAAACGGAGGAAGGUGGGGACGACGUCAAAUCAUCAUGCCCCUUAUGUCCUGGGCUACACACGUAAUACAAUGGCGCAAAACAGAGGGAAGCAAGACCGCGAGGUGGAGCAAAUCCCUAAAAGGCGUCUCAGUUCAGAUUGCAGUCUGCAACUCGACUGCAUGAAGUCGGAAUUGCUAGUAAUCGCGGAUCAGC
rnacentral:rRNA from 1 species